rnacentral:rRNA from 1 species
AGAGUUUGAUCCUGGCUCAGGACGAACGCUGGCGGCGUGCCUAAUACAUGCAAGUAGAACGCUGAAGAGAGGAGCUUGCUCUUCUUGGAUGAGUUGCGAACGGGUGAGUAACGCGUAGGUAACCUGCCUUGUAGCGGGGGAUAACUAUUGGAAACGAUAGCUAAUACCGCAUAACAAUGGAUGACCCAUGUCAUUUAUUUGAAAGGGGCAAAUGCUCCACUACAAGAUGGACCUGCGUUGUAUUAGCUAGUAGGUGAGGUAACGGCUCACCUAGGCGACGAUACAUAGCCGACCUGAGAGGGUGAUCGGCCACACUGGGACUGAGACACGGCCCAGACUCCUACGGGAGGCAGCAGUAGGGAAUCUUCGGCAAUGGGGGCAACCCUGACCGAGCAACGCCGCGUGAGUGAAGAAGGUUUUCGGAUCGUAAAGCUCUGUUGUAAGUCAAGAACGAGUGUGAGAGUGGAAAGUUCACACUGUGACGGUAGCUUACCAGAAAGGGACGGCUAACUACGUGCCAGCAGCCGCGGUAAUACGUAGGUCCCGAGCGUUGUCCGGAUUUAUUGGGCGUAAAGCGAGCGCAGGCGGUUUGAUAAGUCUGAAGUUAAAGGCUGUGGCUCAACCAUAGUUCGCUUUGGAAACUGUCAAACUUGAGUGCAGAAGGGGAGAGUGGAAUUCCAUGUGUAGCGGUGAAAUGCGUAGAUAUAUGGAGGAACACCGGUGGCGAAAGCGGCUCUCUGGUCUGUAACUGACGCUGAGGCUCGAAAGCGUGGGGAGCGAACAGGAUUAGAUACCCUGGUAGUCCACGCCGUAAACGAUGAGUGCUAGGUGUUGGAUCCUUUCCGGGAUUCAGUGCCGCAGCUAACGCAUUAAGCACUCCGCCUGGGGAAUACGACCGCAAGGUUGAAACUCAAAGGAAUUGACGGGGGCCCGCACAAGCGGUGGAGCAUGUGGUUUAAUUCGAAGCAACGCGAAGAACCUUACCAGGUCUUGACAUCCCGAUGCUAUUUCUAGAGAUAGAAAGUUACUUCGGUACAUCGGUGACAGGUGGUGCAUGGUUGUCGUCAGCUCGUGUCGUGAGAUGUUGGGUUAAGUCCCGCAACGAGCGCAACCCCUAUUGUUAGUUGCCAUCAUUCAGUUGGGCACUCUAGCGAGACUGCCGGUAAUAAACCGGAGGAAGGUGGGGAUGACGUCAAAUCAUCAUGCCCCUUAUGACCUGGGCUACACACGUGCUACAAUGGUUGGUACAACGAGUUACGAGUCGGUGACGGCAAGCUAAUCUCUUAAAGCCAAUCUCAGUUCGGAUUGUAGGCUGCAACUCGCCUACAUGAAGUCGGAAUCGCUAGUAAUCGCGGAUCAGCACGCCGCGGUGAAUACGUUCCCGGGCCUUGUACACACCGCCCGUCACACCACGAGAGUUUGUAACACCCGAAGUCGGUGAGGUAACCUUUUGGAGCCAGCCGCCUAAGGUGGGAUAGAUGAUUGGGGUGAAGUCGUAACAAGGUA